CGCUCUACACCAGUCUACCAGAGUGAGAGGAACAUACACAUCAUAGGAAGGAAAUUAGAAGUAGUUGGAAGCUAGACAAUUUUGUUGAAAGAUGUAUACAGCUUUGUACGAGGAUGAGAGGAAAGAAGGGUGUAAUAGAUGUAAUAGAUGUAUAGUGAGAACAGGCGGAUAUGAUCUUAACUCACGAAUAAAUCUGAAAACAUUGGCUGCGUUGUGUAGCGCUUGUUCCGAAAGUGGCUUGUGCAUAUACUAUACUCCAAACCACUUGUUUGCUAUGAUCAUUGUAUCUAUUGCGAUUCUCUUAUCGCUGCUUGUACUCCAAAGGAAAGGAC
rnacentral:lncRNA from 1 species